AGAGUUUGAUCCUGGCUCAGAACGAACGCUGGCGGCAGGCCUAACACAUGCAAGUCGAGCGCUCCGCAAGGGGAGCGGCGCACGGGUGAGUAACGCGUGGGAACGUGCCCUAGGGUACGGGAUAACACCGGGAAACUGGUGCUAAUACCGUAUAUGGCGGAAGCUGAAAGAAUUUCGCCCUGGGAGCGGCCCGCGUCCGAUUAGCUAGUUGGUGGGGUAAUGGCCUACCAAGGCUGCGAUCGGUAGCUGGUCUGAGAGGAUGAUCAGCCACACUGGGACUGAGACACGGCCCAGACUCCUACGGGAGGCAGCAGUGGGGAGUAUUGGACAAUGGACGCAAGUCUGAUCCAGCCAUGCCGCGUGGGUGAUGAAGGCCUUCGGGUUGUAAAGCCCUUUCGCGCGCGACGAUGAUGACGGUAGCGCGAGAAGAAGCCCCGGCUAACUUCGUGCCAGCAGCCGCGGUAAUUC
rnacentral:rRNA from 1 species